rnacentral:rRNA from 1 species
UCACGUAGAAUAUUAAUGGUCGAACAGACCAACCUUUAAAGACUUCUGCAUCUUUGGGAUAUUCUGGUCCAACAUCGAGGUCACAAACUUUUUUUUCGAUUAGAGCUCUAAAAAAAAAUAAUGCUGUUAUCCCUACGGUAACUAAUUCUUUUAAUCAGAGAGUUCUGGAUCGUAGCUGAGAGCUUGUUAAAAAAAGGAGGUUUUUAGUGCUCCUUGGUUGCCCCAACCAAAAUUUUUAGGAUUUUAGUUUCAGUUUAGUUACAAAGGUAUACUAAUUUUUUUCAAGCUCGAUAGGGUCUUCUUGUCUUUUAAUAAAAUAUAGGCUUUUUCACCUAUAGAUAAAAUUCUAAGAAAUUUCAACUGAGACAGAUUUAUCCAUGUCAAACCAUUCAUUCCAGCCCUCAAUUAUAGGGCAAAUUAUUAUGCUACCUUUGCACAGUCAGGGUACUGCGGCCGUUUAAAGUUCACCGGGCAGGUAUGAUUUCUUAUAGGUGGUGUACAAAAAACGAUGUUUUU